GGAGAGAUGGCCGAGUGGUCGAAGGCGGUCGCCUGCUAAGCGGCUGUAGAGGGCUAAAAACCCUCUACCGCGGGUUCGAAUCCCGCUCUCUCCG
rnacentral:tRNA from 1 species